rnacentral:rRNA from 1 species
UACGGGGGGGGCAAGCGUUGUUCGGAAUUACUGGGCGUAAAGGGCUCGUAGGUGGCCAACUAAGUCAGACGUGAAAUCCCUCGGCUUAACCGGGGAACUGCGUCUGAUACUGGAUGGCUCGAGGUUGGGAGAGGGACGCGGAAUUCCAGGUGUAGCGGUGAAAUGCGUAGAUAUCUGGAGGAACACCGGUGGCGAAGGCGGCGUCCUGGACCAAUUCUGACACUGAGGAGCGAAAGCCAGGGGAGCAAACGGG